rnacentral:rRNA from 1 species
GUCCACGCUGUAAACGAUGGGCACUAGGUGUUCGGGGUAUUGACCCCCUGAGUGCCGCAGCUAACGCAUUAAGUGCCCCGCCUGGGGACUACGGCCGCAAGGUUAAAACUCAAAGGAAUUGACGGGGGCCCGCACAAGCGGUGGAGCAUGUGGUUCAAUUCGACGCAACGCGAAGAACCUUACCUGGGCUAGACAACGUCGGACCGCCCCAGAAAUGGGGUUUUCCCGCAAGGGACCGGCGGUUCAGGUGCUGCAUGGCUGUCGU